UACGUAGGGGGCUAGCGUUGUCCGGAAUCAUUGGGCGUAAAGCGCGCGCAGGCGGCCCGGUAAGUCCGUUGUGAAAGUCAAAGGCUCAACCUUUGAAAGCCGAUGGAUACUGCCGGGCUGGAGUCCGGAAGAGGCGAGUGGAAUUCCUGGUGUAGCGGUGGAAUGCGCAGAUAUCAGGAGGAACACCAAUAGCGAAGGCAGCUCGCUGGGACGGUACUGACGCUGAGGCGCGAAAGCGUGGGGAGCGAACAGG
rnacentral:rRNA from 1 species